rnacentral:rRNA from 1 species
UACGUAGGGGGCGAGCGUUGUCCGGAAUUAUUGGGCGUAAAGAGCGUGUAGGCGGUUCGGUAAGUCUGCCGUGAAAACCUGAGGCUCAACCUCGGGCGUGCGGUGGAUACUGCCGGGCUAGAGGACGGUAGAGGCGAGUGGAAUUCCCGGUGUAGCGGUGAAAUGCGCAGAUAUCGGGAGGAACACCAGUAGCGAAGGCGGCUCGCUGGGCCGUUCCUGACGCUGAGACGCGAAAGCUAGGGGAGCGAACAGGAUUAGAAACCCGAGUAGUCC